UGGGGAAUCUUCCGCAAUGGACGAAAGUCUGACGGAGCAACGCCGCGUGAGUGAUGACGGCCUUCGGGUUGUAAAGCUCUGUUAAUCGGGACGAAUGGUUCUUGUGCGAAUAGUGCAAGGAUUUGACGGUACCGGAAUAGAAAGCCACGGCUAACUACGUGCCAGCAGCCGCGGUAAUACGUAGGUGGCAAGCGUUGUCCGGAAUUAUUGGGCGUAAAGCGCGCGCAGGCGGAUUGGUCAGUCUGUCUUAAAAGUUCGGGGCUUAACCCCGUGAUGGGAUGGAAACUGACAAUCUAGAGUAUCGGAGAGGAAAGUGGAAUUCCUAGUGUAGCGGUGAAAUGCGUAGAUAUUAGGGAGAACACCAGUGGCGACGGCGACUUUCUGGACGAAAACUGACGCUGAGGCGCGAAAGCCAGGGGAGCGAACGGG
rnacentral:rRNA from 1 species